GAAAUGCGAUAAGUAAUGUGAAUUGCAGAAUUCGUGACUCAUCGAAAUUUUGAACGCAUAUUGCACCUAGUGGCAUUCCACUAGGUAUGCUUGUUUGAGUGUCUGUCCAUUUUCCUCACCUUUCGGGGUGGAUUUGAUUAUUUUUUCUGCAAAGAAGAAUUAGUCUAAAUGGAUUCAGUGACUUGAUUUUUCGGAAACGGAAAAAAGUUAUUCAUGUCAGUAGGGUAACACCUAAUGCUAGAGUAAUUUUUCAUGUGGAAGGAAAUUUUAAAGAAACUGCCAAAGACCCCCAGUUUAUUUUUCUUUAAAUUGGACCUCAAAUCAAGCAAGAUUACCCGCUGAACUUAAGC
rnacentral:misc_RNA from 1 species